GGGAAUGUGGUUUAGUAGUAGAGUGCUUGCCUUGCAUGCAUGAGGCCCUGGGUUCAAUUCCUCAGCACCA
rnacentral:tRNA from 1 species